rnacentral:rRNA from 1 species
UACAGAGGGUGCAAGCGUUGUUCGGAAUUAUUGGGCGUAAAGGGUGCGUAGGCGGUGCGGUAAGUCUGUAGUGAAAUCUCUGGGCUCAACUCAGAGUCUGCUAUAGAAACUGCCGUGCUUGAGUGUGGGAGAGGUGAGUGGAAUUCCUGGUGUAGCAGUGAAAUGCGUAGAUAUCAGGAGGAACACCGAUGGCGAAGGCAGGUCUCUGGGCUGACACUGACGCUCAUGCACGAAAGCGUGGGGAGCAAACAGG